UACAGAGACCCCGAGCGUUUAUCCGGAAUUACUGGGCGUAAAGCGCAAGUAGUCGGUUGUACUAGUCUGAUGUUAAAUCUCAUCGCUCAACGGUGAGGCCGCAUGAGAAACGGUACUUCUAGAGCAAGUCAGGGGCAAGCGGAACGUGUGGUGUAGCGGUGAAAAUGCAUUGAUAUCACACGGAACACCAAAAGCGAAAGCAGCUUGCUAGGGCUUUGCUGACGAUCAGUUGCGAAAGCGUGGGGAUCAAAAAGG
rnacentral:rRNA from 1 species